UACGAAGGGGGCUAGCGUUGUUCGGAAUUACUGGGCGUAAAGCGUACGCAGGCGGCGCAUUAAGUCAGGGGUGAAAGGCCUGGGCUCAACCCAGGAACUGCCUUUGAGACUGAUGCGCUCGAGUCCGGAAGAGGGUAGUGGAAUUCCCAGUGUAGAGGUGAAAUUCGUAGAUAUUGGGAAGAACACCGGUGGCGAAGGCGGCUACCUGGUCCGGUACUGACGCUCAAGUACGAAAGCGUGGGGAGCAAACAGG
rnacentral:rRNA from 1 species